rnacentral:lncRNA from 1 species
UUUUGGGUACCAAAAUAAUAUAUUUACACAAACAAAGCCAAGCAUAUGUGUAAACACCCAGUAAAACAACAAUAAAAUUGUACAUAUAGCACAAACAAAUCGAAAUACAUACAUGCAACCAAAUAAAAUGAUUGACAAAGAGAAAGAACAUACCUCACUACAAGUCCCAAAGUCAACAAACAAACUCUCAAAGUGAACAAACUUUUAGAUCUGCAAAAACAAGAACUAAAAAAUUAAAAAUCUUGCAAAACCCAGAAGAUAUGAACAAAAUACAAAGAAAAUAGGGCUAGAUCUUCAAGAUGUGUUCUUCAAACUAAACCCAGAAUUUGAAAACAAACCAAGAUGGAUUUGGAAUCUUCUUCGGUAGUGUUAAUAAAUUAGGGUUUAUAGAGUUCGAAUCUUUUGAGCGUAUAGUGAAACAGGGUUCUUGAGUGUAGCGAAAUUAGGGUUCUUGAAGAGAGGGAGAGAUUGAAAGAUUGAGAGGUGGGAGGUAGAGAUUUGAGAGGCGGGAGAGUGAGGUCGGGCUCGAGGGAGUAAGGGUCGAAAGAAAGGGGGGAAGAGAUUGGGGGAAAUA